GACGAACGCUGGCGGCGUGCUUAACACAUGCAAGUCGAACGGAAAGGCCCUGCUUUUGUGGGGUGCUCGAGUGGCGAACGGGUGAGUACACGUGAGUAACCUGCCCUUGACUUUGGGAUAACUUCAGGAAACUGGGGCUAAUACCGGAUAGGAGCUCCUGCUGCAUGGUGGGGGUUGGAAAGUUUCGGCGGUUGGGGAUGGACUCGCGGCUUAUCAGCUUGUUGGUGGGGUAGUGGCUUACCAAGGCUUUGACGGGUAGCCGGCCUGAGAGGGUGGCCGGCCACAUUGGGACUGAGAUACGGCCCAGACUCCUACGGGAGGCAGCAGUGGGGAAUAUUGCACAAUGGGCGGAAGCCUGAUGCAGCAACGCCGCGUGCGGGAUGACGGCCUUCGGGUUGUAAACCGCUUUCGCCUGUGACGAAGCGUGAGUGACGGUAAUGGGUAAAGAAGCACCGGCUAACUACGUG
rnacentral:rRNA from 1 species